rnacentral:rRNA from 1 species
UGAGGAAUCUUGCGCAAUGGGGGAAACCUUGACGCAGCAACGCCGCGUGAGUGAUGAAGGCCUUCGGGUCGUAAAGCUCUGUCGGACGGGAAGAAAGUCUUUGCGGUGAAUACCUGCAAGGAUUGACGGUACCGUUAAAGGAAGCACCGGCUAACUCCGUGCCAGCAGCCGCGGUAAUACGGAGGGUGCAAGCGUUGUUCGGAAUUAUUGGGCGUAAAGAGCGUGUAGGCGGCCUCGUAAGUCAGAUGUGAAAUCCCUUGGCUUAACCAAGGAAGGGCAUUUGAAACUGCUUGGCUUGAGUACGGGAGGGGGAAGUGGAAUUCCCGGUGUAGAGGUGAAAUUCGUAGAUAUCGGGAGGAACAUCAGUGGCGAAGGCGGCUUCCUGGAUCGAUACUGACGC